rnacentral:pre_miRNA from 1 species
GAACUACUGUCUCCGUUCGGAAUUACUUGUCGCAGAAAUGAAUAUAUCUAGACGUAUUUUAAUUCUAGAUACAUCUAUUUUCGAGAUAAGUAAUUCCAAACGGAGAGAGUAUACG